rnacentral:rRNA from 1 species
UGAACGCUGGCGGCGUGCCUAAUGCAUGCAAGUCGAACGCUCCCCGAUCGCAAGAUCGGGGGGAGUGGCGAACGGCUGAGGAACACGCAGGGAACCUGCCCCUCGGUGGGGGACACCCCCGCGAAAGCGGGGCUAAGACCGCAUAGCCUGGUCCUUCCUAAGAAGGAUCAGGAAAGGCCCGAUGCAAGUCGGGACGCCGGGGGAGGGCCCUGCGGCCCAUCAGGUGGUUGGCGGGGUUGCGGCCCACCAAGCCGAUGACGGGUCGCUGGUCUGAGAGGACGGCCAGCCAGAGGGGGACUGAGAGACGGCCCCCACUCCUACGGGAGGCAGCAGCAGGGGAUCUUGGGCAAUGGGGGAAACCCCGACCCAGCGACGCCGCGUGGGGGAUGACGGCCUUCGGGUUGUAAACCCCUUUUGCCGGGGAAGAGGAAGGACGGUACCCGGCGAAGAAGCCCCGGCUAACUACGUGCCAGCAGCCGCGGUAAGACGUAGGGGGCGAGCGUUACCCGGAGUUACUGGGCGUAAAGGGCGUGUAGGCGGCCUGGUCCGUCCUGGGUGAAAGCCCCCCUCUCAACGGGGGAGGGUCCUGGGAGACGGCCCGGGCUGGAGGGCAGCAGAGGCGGGUGGAAUUCCCGGUGGAGCAGUGAAAUGCGUAGAGCCCGGGAGGAACACCAGUGGCGAAAGCGGCCCGCUGGGCUGCUCCUGACGCUGAGGCGCGAAAGCGUGGGGAGCGAACCGGAUCAGAUACCCGGGUAGUCCACGCCCUAAACGAUGGACGCUAGGUAUGGGGGGUCUCGACCCCCUCCGUGCCGUAGCUUACGCUUUAAGCGUCCCGCCUGGGGAGUACGGCCGCAAGGCUCAAACUCAAAGGAAUUGACGGGGGCCCGCACAAGCGGCGGAGCGUGUGGUUUAAUUCGAUGCAAAGCGAAGAACCUUACCAGGGCUGGACAGGCCGAUAGUAGACGCCCCAAAGGGCAACGACCCCGCAAGGGGAGUCGGCCCAGGUGCUGCAUGGCUGUCGUCAGCUCGUGCCGUGAGGUGUUGGGUUAAGUCCCGCAACGAGCGCAACCCCCGCCGCGUGUUGAAUUCUCACGCGGGACAGCCCCCCACAAGGGGGAGGAAGGUGGGGAUGACGUCAAGUCCGCAUGGCCCUGACGUCCUGGGCAACACACACGCUACAAUGGACGGGACAACGGGAGGCCAAGCCGCAAGGCGCCGCAAAUCCCAGCAAACCCGUCCCCAGUAGGGAUCGGAGGCUGCAACCCGCCUCCGUGAACGUGGAGUCGCUAGUAACCGCCGGUCAGCAGACGGCGGUGAAUACGUUCCCGGGCCUUGUACACACCGCCC